ensembl:lncRNA
AUCCCUAAGUCAUCGAUUUUAUUACAAUAGUGUAGGCCAUUUCUGCAUGAACAUAAUAAAUUAAGGACCCCAUCAAUCAUGAAAAAUGCUUGACAUUCAUUUUGACUAAAUGUUGUCCUUAAAAUGUCUCUCAACCAACAUUCAGAGCAAACCCACACCUGUGCACUUUGCUCUCCUUGAGGUACACAACUCUGUAUACUGUAUGUCGUCCUAUAUAAAGCACAGCUCAAAGCCGCUCUCUUCACAACACUGCCUGUGUGAUGAGUUCUCACUGAUUGGCACUCAAGUUAAUAGAUACGUGACAAAAUGGCUGAUUGUUCAGCACUCUUCCAUGUGGUGUUUGUCUGCAAUAUUGUGAUUUUACUCUUCAGUGGGGUCCUGAACAUAAUUUUAUGUGACAGACUGAGGAGAAGAAAAUGUGAACUGUGUGCAGCACAUCACAGGAGGCUUCACCUGGCUGUCCCUCCUCAACAAAACUCUGUGUCUGAUGAUCAAGAGAGUGAGGUGAACUAUACCAUGCUGCAAUUCCCUGAAGACAACACAAAAACAGAGAGCUCAGAGAAGAGCAGAAACGACACUGUCUAUUCCAGUCUUAAAUGCCAAAUCUCAAACAUCACUGAGGAAAACUAAAUCAGGAUUUUCAGAGCUCCACAGUGCAGAUUUCCAGCAGGACACUGGAUCUCUCCCUCCGCAGACCAGGAUCAUCACCACUGACCCAGAACCAAUGACCAGCCAUAAAGCGCAGAUCAGUCCACACAUAAACUGUCUGGGAUGUUAUAGUAUAAUUUAUCACCUCUUCCAUAAUUGUCUCAGAACUUAGACUUGCCAGAUCAGUGUACUCUUUUCUGCAAUAGUCCAGGGCUUCAUCCCACGUCUUAUUCUGAUGAACCAAAACUGGGCUGAAGACCUUCAUACAGUAAAAAGAUAGAGUCUCAGAGCAUGGAAUGUUGUGCAGUUUAGAAGUGGAUAUUUUUAACCUGCCACAAUUUUCAGAAUAAUCAUCUGGUUGUUCGCUAUCCCAGUUGUCAAUUGGUUGCCUCUCACCUCCAGACCAAAUCCAUUUUUCUGGGUUGUUAGAACUUCUGUAUAGUCCAGCCAAUUUAAAAUGAUACACAGAAUCUGUAUAAACGCAAAACUUUUCUGCCUCUCCUUUAUUGAUGGUGGAAAGGUCGUCGUAGUAUUUUCUGCAGUAUUUCUGUUCAUCAUUCAGUCAUUUUUUUCCCCACAAAAUAAUGGAUUCUAUAGGCACUGAGGUACAGUCCAAAAAGACUCAAAAGUAAGAACACAUUGACUGCAGCCUUCAUUUCUGUAUGGACGAUUUACACAGUAAUGCCUAAGUGUGCACUCAACUACGAUGAUAUUAUGGCAUCUCUUAAAGAUUUUUAAUAAGAGACCAAUAAAAAAGCUGUAAGGGAACUGGCCA